GGCCAAUAAGAUCUAGCAACGCAUACAACAUAUGUCAGUAUGCCGUAACCAAAAACUAACUCACUAAAGCCCAUGGAAGCAAAGAAUUCAUUAUUAGUCAGCAAGGACAGAUUAAAUGUCUCGUGUAUGUACCAAGAUACCAAGAAAGGUUGGAAAACCCAUACAAAUCAGUGGGAGGACCUGCAGCAGCAGGGUGGGCCGG